UACGUAGGGUGCGAGCGUUAAUCGGAAUUACUGGGCGUAAAGCGUGCGCAGGCGGUUUUGUAAGCCAGAUGUGAAAUCCCCGGGCUUAACCUGGGAAUGGCAUUUGGGACUGCAAGGCUUGAGUGCGGCAGAGGAGACUGGAAUUCCUGGUGUAGCGGUGAAAUGCGUAGAUAUCAGGAGGAACACCGAUGGCGAAGGGCAGGUCUCUGG
rnacentral:rRNA from 1 species